GGCUUCGUAGCUCAAUUGGCUAGAGCGUUGGCUGUACUAAAACCCUUCCCUUGCUGGCGUUGGUUCUAAUCCCACCAAGGCUG
rnacentral:tRNA from 1 species